rnacentral:rRNA from 1 species
UACGGAGGUUGCAAGCGUUAUUCGGAUUUACUGGGCGUAAAGGGCGCGUAGGCGGUCGUAUAAGUCAGAUGUGAAAGCCCGGGGCUCAACCCCGGAAGUGCAUUUGAUACUGUACGACUUGAGUAUGGGAGAGGGAAGUGGAAUUCCUGGUGUAGAGGUGAAAUUCGUAGAUAUCAGGAGGAACACCGGUGGCGAAGGCGGCUUCCUGGACCAAUACUGACGCUGAGGCGCGAAGGCGUGGGUAGCAAACAGG